rnacentral:rRNA from 1 species
AUCAACGCUGGCGGCGUGCCUAACACAUGCAAGUCGAGCGAUGAAAGCGGGGGCAACCCUGAGUAAAGUGGCGUACGGGUGAGUAACCGUAGGGUGAAUCUACCUCUUGAGUUCGGGAAUAACCUGCGGAAAGGCGGGCUAAUACUGGAUAAGCCGAAUCCUGCAAAUUGGGUUUCGGGAAAGGGAGCUGUACAUCCUCGCUUCGGAGAGGAGCCGCGGCUCGAUUAGCUAGUUGGUAGGGGUAACGGCCUACCAAGGCAUUGAUGAGUAGCCUGGUCUGAGAGGAUGCAUCAGGCCACACUGGAACUGAAACACGGUCCAGACUCCUACGGGAGGCAGCAGUGGGGAAUCUUGCACAAUGGGGACGAAACCCUGACGCAGCCGACGCCGCGUGAGUGAUGAAGCCCUUCGGGGUUGUAAAGCUCUUUCGCAGGGACGACAUCACAGUUAGACUGGUUGACUGACGUACCGCUAAGGCAGCUGCCGGCUAACUCCGUGCCAGCAGCCGCGGUAAUACGUAGGGUAGCAAGCGUUGCUUCGGAAGUUAUUGGGCGUAAAGGGGCAGGUAGGUGGUCUCAUUGUCUGGUGUGAAAUCUCCUGGCUUAACUCAGGAAGGGGCGCCGGAGAACUGGAAGACUCGAGUACUGGAGAGGUAGAGUGGAAUUCCCUGGUGUAGCGGUGAAAUGCGUAGAGAUCGGGAGGAACACCAGAGGCGUAAAGCGGCUCUACUGGACCAGUCACUGACAGCUCAGACUGCGAAAGCGUGGGGAGCAAACAGGAUUAGAUACCCUGGUAGUCCACGCCUGUAAACGAUGGUACUAGGCUUGGUGGGGCUGACCCUCUGUCCGUGCCGGAGCUAACGCGCUAAGUAGCCCCGCCUGGGGAAGUACGGUCGCAAGACUGAAAACUCAAAGGAAUUGACGGGGGCCCGCACAAGCGGUGGAGCAUGUGGUUUAAUUCGAAGCAACGCGAAGAACCUUACCUGGGUUUGACACCUCUGGACCGCUGUGGAGACACAGUUUUCGUAGCAAUACGACCAGAUGACAGGUGCUGCAUGGCUGUCGUCAGCUCGUGUGGUGACAUGUUGGGUUAAGUCCCGCAACGAGCGCAACCCUUGUCCUUAGUUGCCAGCAUUCAGUUGGGCUCUCUAAGGAGACUGCCGUGGUUAACACGGAGGAAGGUGGGGAUGACGUCAAGUCCUCAUGGCCUUUAUAUCCAGGGCGACACACGUGAUACAAUGGUCGGUACAGAGGGAAGCGAAACCGCGAGGUGGAGCCAAUCUCAAAAAGCCGAUCUCAGUUCGGAUUGGAGUCUGCAACUCGACUCCAUGAAGUUGGAAUCGCUAGUAAUCGCGGAUCAGCACGCCGCGGUGAAUACGUUCCCGGGCCUUGUACACACCGCCCGUCACACCAUGGGAGCUGACUCAACCAGAAGACGGUCAGGCUAACCGAAAGGGGGCCUCCGGCGAAGGUGGGGUUGGUGACUGGGGUG